UUUGAGACAAUGUCAAUGUCCAUUUUUAAAAGUGCGAUAUAAAUAAAAUAAAAUUUUAUUGAACUGUAGUAAUUAGUAGCAUUCACCUCAUAAAUAUGAUUGUUCUAAUGGAUUUUGGCUAAACCCUUACAUUAAUUUAAUGCCUCCCCAAAGUAAUUUCCUCUCAUUAUUUUUAGUCCUCUUAUUCCUCUAUUAAAGCCACUUUUUAUCAUUUACAUUUAACAUAGAAACACAUUAGUUCCUCACUUCAUCAUGCCUCACCUUUUUUCUUUCUCUUUGAAAAAUAAAAACAGCUUGUCAUAUUACUGAGAAACCCUGAAAGUGCAAAGUCCUCUGUCCUGAAGACUUUCUCAUGGCUGAGUUCCCAGUGUGACCGCUUCUUCUUUUCAGACCUGCCUUAUCCGUCUUGACGCCCUACCCCUGGUUGGAGUCUCGUCACUUGAUGGUACACUCUGCUGGGAUAGAUCUACAUAGACAGCCUGUGACCUGUGGGACUACUGAGGAUUGAACCACUUGGAGACUAUCACACUGUCUUUGAGCUGUCAUUGUGUCGUUUACCUCAAUCUCACGAAGGAGUUCUGACUGCCCACACGUCUCCAAGUCCUCCAGAGCCUGGCACCAGAAGUUGUCCUCGUGGUCCAGCAUGAUGCCAUCAGCAGGAGUCUGGCUGGCAAAUCUGCAGCAGUGAUUAGCCUUUACAGUGUUGUCCUGAAUGACUGCAGCUGGCUCUUACUCUACUCCAAUCCAUCCUUGAUUCCUGUUCUCUCCAUGUGUGAGGAGUCUUACCCUGCAUGCUUGUCCCAG